rnacentral:rRNA from 1 species
GAUGAACGCUGGCGGCGUGCUUAACACAUGCAAGUCGAGCGAGAAGUUUUGAAAAGAUUCUUCGGAUGAAAUUUAAAAUGGAAAGCGGCGGACGGGUGAGUAACGCGUAGGCAACCUGCCCCAUACAAAGGGAUAGCAUUUGGAAACGAAUAUUAAUACCUUAUGAAACUUAACUAGUGCAUGCUAGGUAGGUCAAAGAUUUAUCGGUAUGGGAUGGGCCUGCGUCUGAUUAGCUAGUUGGUGAGGUAACGGCUCACCAAGGCGACGAUCAGUAGCCGACCUCGGAGGGUGAACGGCCACAUUGGAACUGAGACACGGUCCAAACUCCUACGGGAGGCAGCAGUGAGGAAUAUUGCACAAUGGGGGAAACCCUGAUGCAGCAACGCCGCGUGAACGAUGAAGGCCUUUGGGUCGUAAAGUUCUGUUCUAGGUGAUGAAAACUGACAGUAACCUAGGAGAAAGCCCCGGCUAACUCCGUG